rnacentral:lncRNA from 1 species
GGGUGUGUGAGGGUGAGGUCAUCGAUCAUCAUAGAGAGUUGUAGCUCGUAGGAGCUACUGGUACGGAGUACUCUGCAGCCAUACUGCAUCUAUACAUUGGAUUGGAGUAACCACGGCUCAGCUGUCAGUGGACUAUCUGUCGGCAAUCUCUCUUGCCAAUCCACCCCACCUCGCUCUGUGCUGACGACAGAUGUCGUCACUGUAGAUUCCCUCUAUCUCUCUCUCUCAAAGAAAUAUUGGCAGUUGCAAAACCUAUUUUGGCGCCAGACAGCAGCUGCCAUCCUGAAUCCGUUGCUUGUGGCCUUGUUGCCUGUGCUCUGUAUAGUCUCUGGCCUCUG